AUUGAACGCUGGCGGCAGGCCUAACACAUGCAAGUCGAACGAGUGGCGGACGGGUGAGUAAUGUCUGGGAAACUGCCCGAUGGAGGGGGAUAACUACUGGAAACGGUAGCUAAUACCGCGUACCAUAGGAUGUGCCCAGAGGGGAUGAGCUUGUAGGGGAGGUAACGGCUCACCUAGGCGACGAUCCCUAGCUGGUCUGAGAGGAUGACCAGCCAGACUGGAACUGAGACACGGGCGAGACUCCUACGGGAGGCAGCAGUGGGGAAUAUUGCACAAUUGGCGCAAUCCGGAUAGAGCUAUGGCGCGUGUAUGAAGAAUGCCUUCGGGUUGUAAAGUACUUUCAGCGGGGAGGCGUUACCCGCAGUAGAAGCACCGGCUAACUCCGUGCCAGCAGCCGCGGUAAUUC
rnacentral:rRNA from 1 species